UUUAUUAUUUUCCUAAGGGUAGGUCUUUGACCCUCUGUAAUUUUUCAGAAACCUUAUCCACAUUUAUGAUUUAGACUUAACACACCUAUGCUGAUGACUUUCAUUUUUGAUCACCCUCUCCCUUGAAUUCUAUCUACCUUAUUAGGCAGUUCAUAGUAUAUCAAGCUUUUCUGUAUACAUAAAUCUAAUAAAGAUAUUAGGCUGACCCAUCUGAAAUUGCAAUUUUUGUAGGUUAAAAACUGUUAACAUAUUGACAGUAUCAAACCUAAAAAAGAAACUGUAGCUCUCAUUUUAAUAAUUUUUCCUUUACAUUUGCAUUUAACAUUGCAGAACCUUUUGAUGGAACAAAUACAGCCAGAGCAGUGCACGAAAAGCAGAAAUUUGAUAUGAUCAAGGAUCAAUUUUUAAAGUCAUGGCACAGAUUGAAAAACAAGAGAGAUUUGAACAGUAUACUACCUGUAAGAGCUGCUGUCCUGAAAAGAUAACUGGCCUCUAUUUCUUAAUAAAUUCUUCCAAGAAAUAAAGAACAAUAGUUUCAUCAU
rnacentral:lncRNA from 10 species